GAUGAACGCUAGCGGCAGGCCUAACACAUGCAAGUCGAGGGGUAGAACACUUCGGUGUUUGAGACCGGCGCACGGGUGCGUAACGCGUAUGCAAUCUACCUUGUACAGGGGAAUAGCCCAGAGAAAUUUGGAUUAAUGCCCCAUAGUAUAUAACCUUCGCAUGUUGGUUAUAUUAAAGUUCCAACGGUACAAGAUGAGCAUGCGUCCCAUUAGUUAGUUGGUAAGGUAACGGCUUACCAAGACGAUGAUGGGUAGGGGUCCUGAGAGGGAGAUCCCCCACACUGGUACUGAGACACGGACCAGACUCCUACGGGAGGCAGCAGUGAGGAAUAUUGGUCAAUGGGCGCAAGCCUGAACAAGCCAUGCCGCGUGCAGGAAGACGGUCCUAUGGAUUGUAAACUGCUUUUAUACAGGAAGAAACAACUCUACGUGUAGAGUCUUGACGGUACUGUAGGAAUAAGGAUCGGCUAACUCCGUGCCAGCCGCCGCAGUAAUAC
rnacentral:rRNA from 1 species